GUGGGGAAUUUUGGACAAUGGGCGAAAGCCUGAUCCAGCCAUGCCGCGUGCAGGAUGAAGGCCUUCGGGUUGUAAACUGCUUUUGUACGGAACGAAAAGACUCCUUCUAAUAAAGGGGGUCCAUGACGGUACCGUAAGAAUAAGCACCGGCUAACUACGUGCCAGCAGCCGCGGUAAUACGUAGGGUGCAAGCGUUAAUCGGAAUUACUGGGCGUAAAGCGUGCGCAGGCGGUUAUAUAAGACAGAUGUGAAAGCCCCGGGCUCAACCUGGGAACUGCAUUUGUGACUGUAUAGCUAGAGUACGGUAGAGGGGGAUGGAAUUCCGCGUGUAGCAGUGAAAUGCGUAGAUAUGCGGAGGAACACCGAUGGCGAAGGCAAUCCCCUGGACCUGUACUGACGCUCAUGCACGAAAGCGUGGGGAGCAAACAGGAUUAGAUACCCCAGUAGUCC
rnacentral:rRNA from 1 species